CGUGCUACAAUGGCGCAUACAAAGAGAAGCGACCUCGCGAGAGCAAGCGGACCUCAUAAAGUGCGUCGUAGUCCGGAUUGGAGUCUGCAACUCGACUCCAUGAAGUCGGAAUCGCUAGUAAUCGUGGAUCAGAAUGCCACGGUGAAUACGUUCCCGGGCCUUGUACACACCGCCCGUCACACCAUGGGAGUGGGUUGCAAAAGAAGUAGGUAGCUUAACCUUCGGGAGGGCGCUUACCACUUUGUGAUUCAUGACUGGGGUGAAGUCGUAACAAGGUAACCGUAGGGGAACCUGCGGUUGGAUCACCUCCUUACCUUAAAGAAGC
rnacentral:rRNA from 2 species